rnacentral:rRNA from 1 species
GAUGAACGCUGGCGGCGUGCCUAAUACAUGCAAGUCGAGCGAACGGACGAGAAGCUUGCUUUUCUGAUGUUGGCGGCGGACGGGUGAGUAACACGUGGAUAACCUACCUAUAAGACUGGGAUAACUUCGGGAAACCGGAGCUAAUACCGGAUAAUAUUUUGAACCGCAUGGUUCAAAAGUGAAAGACGGUCUUGCUGUCACUUAUAGAUGGAUCCGCGCUGCAUUAGCUAGUUGGUAAGGUAACGGCUUACCAAGGCAACGAUGCAUAGCCGACCUGAGAGGGUGAUCGGCCACACUGGAACUGAGACACGGUCCAGACUCCUACGGGAGGCAGCAGUAGGGAAUCUUCCGCAAUGGGCGAAAGCCUGACGGAGCAACGCCGCGUGAGUGAUGAAGGUCUUCGGAUCGUAAAACCCUGUUAUUAGGGAAGAACAUAUGUGUAAGUAACUGUGCACAUCUUGACGGUACCUAAUCAGAAAGCCACGGCUAACUACGUG